UACACGAGCGGCGGACGGCUGAGUAACACGUAGGAACCUACCCCAAACUGAGGGAUAAGCACCAGAAAUGGUGUCUAAUACCGCAUGUGCUCUUCGGAGUAAAGCUACGGCGGUUUGGGAAGGGCCUGCGUCCGAUUAGCUUGUUGGUAAGGUAAAAGCUUACCAAGGCGACGAUCGGUAGCUGGUCUGAGAGGAUGAUCAGCCAGACUGGGACUGAGAACGGCCCAG
rnacentral:rRNA from 1 species